UGACCCCAUGCGGGAGAGUCCCUUGCCGUUCGCGGCGGGGGCGCCGAAGGAGCAACUCCUCCCCGGAAUCUCUCAGGCAUCCGUACCGCAUGGACGAG
rnacentral:ncRNA from 1 species